AGUGAACGCUGGCGGUAGGCCUAACACAUGCAAGUCGAACGGCAGCACAGUAAGAGCUUGCUCUUACGGGUGGCGAGUGGCGUACGGGUGAGGAAUACAUCGGAAUCUACUUUUUCGUGGGGGAUAACGUAGGGAAACUUACGCUAAUACCGCAUACGACCUACGGGUGAAAGCAUGGGAUCUUCGGACCUUGCGCGAUUGAAUGAGCCGAUGUCGGAUUAGCUAGUUGGCGGGGUAAAGGCCCACCAAGGCGACGAUCCGUAGCUGGUCUGAGAGGAUGAUCAGCCACACUGGAACUGAGACACGGUCCAGACUCCUACGGGAGGCAGCAGUGGGGAAUAUUGGACAAUGGGCGCAAGCCUGAUCCAGCCAUACCGCGUGGGUGAAGAAGGCCUUCGGGUUGUAAAGCCCUUUUGUUGGGAAAGAAAAGCAGCAGGUUAAUACCCCGCUGUUCUGACGGUACCCAAAGAAUAAGCACCGGCUAACUUCGUG
rnacentral:rRNA from 1 species